UACGUAGGCAGCGAGCGUUGUUCGGAAUUACUGGGCGUAAAGAGUGUGUAGGCGGUGCUCUAAGUUCGGUGUGAAAUCUCCUGGCUCAACUGGGAGGGUGCGCCGGAAACUGGAGUGCUUGAGCGUGGGAGAGGAAAGCGGAAUUCCUGGUGUAGCGGUGAAAUGCGUAGAGAUCCGGAAGAACACCGGUGGCGAAGGCGGCCUGCUGGGCAGUGGCUGACGCUGAGGCGCGACAGCGUGGGGAGCAAACAGGG
rnacentral:rRNA from 1 species